GAAGAAGAGAGAGAGUUAAGAUUUUUUUGGAGUUACUCUUACUGAUUACAUGUAGUACUAUGCCAGGCUGGCUUAGAGUCCCUGAGUCUUCUGCUCCCAGCCUCCCCAGAUUGGGCUUGCAGGCAUGCUCCACUGUUAGGUCACAGACCCUCUAGCUGCCCUUGCUCUACCCCUCUUCCCAGCUUUCCGCCGCAAAUCUAGUUUGUGGUCUUAUUGAGUGCCUGCCUCUGUGCUCCUCAGAUCUGAGCCAGCCUAGGCAGGAUUAAAUGGAAUGAAGAUACCUACCCUGCUGCAGAGCUGGAAGUCACCAGCCCCCUUUCUGUGGGAUCUGGACGGAAGGCUCUUCUCUCUCCCUUGGAGGUCCCAGUGUGCUGCCCAUGGCAUUAAGUCUCUAUCCACUCAGAGUACUGAGUGUUAAAGAGCACCGCAGCCCCAUAGCGCUUCGCCCUGCACCCCAAGGAGUCCCGUGGCCUGUCUUCCCUUGCUCUAAUCCCCCGCUCCGCAUGUCCAGCCUCCGGGCCACCCACCCUUCCGUGCAGCUCGUUCUGUCUUCCUUAGCCGUUUAUCUAACUCCAUUUCAUCACUUUCUGCUCACACGGUCUCAAGAUCCAAUUAUUAGUCAUUGAAGGAUACCAACACUAUUCUGCUCAUUGCUACCCCCAGGGACAUGGCAGCAAAUGAGUCAACAGCCUAUGAAAGAGAAGACGGCAGAGGGUGGAGGACUCACUUUUCCAACACUGUCUUGGAGGACAGGGCUGGG